CGUUGAAACACUGGUUCUCAUACGAUCACCAAAGUUAAGCAACGUUGAGCCUGGUCAAUACCUAGAUGGGUGACCGAUUGGGAAUACCAGAUGCUA